ensembl:lncRNA
GCAAAGCAAUCCAGUUCAAGUUGUUCAAAGGCACAGAAGUGUUGCUAUGGGUUGGGGUCAUCCCGUGUCCUUCGCCCCACCCUACUAAGCAGUCUUCUGUAUCUAUCAAAAUUUUAGUUUGAAGUAAUUACUCAGUGAGAUCUUUUUUAUUUUUUAUACAUGGCUUGCAUUGUUAGAACUUUGUCUCUGGAGUUCCUUGUUCUGCUGAACAGAUAGCUGUAUGAAGGCAUUUGCACGUUUCUGUCAACAGUACUGAUCCAUAAAUCCCCUGUCUGAAGCCUUUUGAAGAACCUGGACACGCAAGUUUCUAGUUUGCCUCGAACUCUAUGCCAUAAUAUUUACUGGCACCUGCUGAUAUUUUUACCCAAGCUACUAAGGUAAACUAAACUAACUUCUGAAGUAAUGCUGCAUUGCCCUUGCUGGGACUGAUGACUUCGCUGUAUGGGUCAGAUAGGAAUGUUUUUCACAUCCCUUACAAAAACAGUCCAAUUAGCUGUCCUAUGGUACCCAGCUUGUCCUUGCAACUAACAUCAGAGCCUGAUGAAGAAAUAAGUUGUUUGGUUUCAGUCAAAUUCUCCCUUUUUUAGGUUAAUUUGUUUAAAUAAUUGUUUAAAUACUUGUUAAAAUAAAGAGAACUACUUAAAAAUACGUUAAAAAUAAGAAGAGUUGCAUUGGAAAAAUUAAAAUAAUAUUUGCUAAUUGAAGACAAGCAGAUUCAGAGGAAUAAUUGAAACCUCAGCAUAUGGGGAAGGAAUAUGGAGUCGCUGGGUUGAGACAUUAAAUAUCUUAAUUAACAUGGCUAACAACUCAAUACAAUAAUAAUAAUUUUAAAACCUGUAUAUGACACAAAACCAUACCAAUGUAAAGUAGUCCUGCCUUACAAGGAUUACAUCAUUUUCAGGACUGAAAAAAUGCUCUCAAAAUACUUGAUCAAGAGCAGAGUAUCAUAGAUACUCAUAACUACUGCAGUAUUUGCUGGAACAAGCAUCUAUAAUUGUUAUUAUAAUUAGAAAAUGAUGUUAACUAAAAAACUGCCUAAUUAUUCACUUACAGAAAUUAAACCCAGCACUUUGAGAACAUAACCAGAAACCUAGGGAAAGCUGGUUCAUUUGGGAGAGCUGCAGAAUAGGUUGUAUGCCAGAAUUGCCCUGCGACCGGCCGAUUUCACAGCAGCACACAGCCGAGCACACCAGAGUUUUCAUCUACAUAAAUAGCUGCCUUUCUGAGCACAAUGAACAACUGCUGUUACCCUGCUCUCUUCUAAUUAAAUGCUUCCACUUCGCUUCUACUCUGCCAGUUCAGAUAAAAGUGUGGAAAUCAAAGAGAGGCAAAGAGAAAGGUAGUAAAUAAAAAGGGGGGGGGGAGAUGCACAGU